GGAGUCACGCCAGAAAUCUUACCCGGAGAGACAGCAGAAUGAAGGUCAAGCUGAAGACUUUACCAGACAAGCUGAGAGGUGGUGCAUGGCCGUCGCCAGCUCGUGCCGUGAGAUGCCCUGUUAAGUCAGGUAACGAGCGAGAUCCCUGCCACUAGUUGCUAUCAUUAUUCUCAGGAAUAGUGGGGCGAAUUAGUGGGACUGCCGUUGUUAAAACGGAGGAAGGAAGGGGCUACGGCAGGUCAGUAUGCCCCGAAACUCUGGGGCCACACGCGGGCUGCAAUGGUAGCGACAAUGAGCUCCAAACUCGAAAGAGAGUGGCAAUCUCUAAACGCUACCACAGUUAUGACUGAGGGCUGUAACUCGCCCUCACGAAUAUGGAAUCCCUAGUAACCGCGUGUCAUUACCGCGCGGUGAAUACGUCCCUGCUCCUUGCACACACCGCCCGUCGUUUCAUCGAAAUUUGCUUUUAGCGAGGUGAUGUUUAAUUGACAUUAUCGAACUUGAGGUAAGUGACGAGGGAAAAGUCGUAACAAGGUGACCGUAGGGGAACCUGCGGUCGGAUCA
rnacentral:rRNA from 1 species